GGCUCCUCAAUGUUACUCCACCAUCAUCAACACCGAUUUAGAAGAGAUGGAUCAAAAAGUAUAAAUUUGGAAUUAGAGUUAAGGAAUUAGAACCUGAGAAACAUUGGAAAAUACACUGCCCUACACCUAAUGAAGAUGGAGGAGAGAAGAUUGAAAUGCAGCUAGCCAAUGGGGUCUAGGCUCAAAGUUUUAUUUAUCAAGGGAAAUCUGAACCCUGUUCAAAUAUUGCUAGAUUGAUGGCCUAGCAUAUACAUACAAGCCGCGGAAGAGGAAGAGGCAGCCAGAGCGAAGAAUGGAAGCAAGGAUCCAAACCAAGUUCAUUAAUGAUAUCAUUUCUAUGCGUAAUAUGCCUGCAGAAACUUAUGGGAUGAGAUUGUCGAGAAUAAAGUCCAACCAGAGAGAGCAGGGAUCCGUGAAUUCUUGAACUAUAGUUACAUGUACCAGAGACAGCAGUUGCCAAAGUGCCGUUAUCCAAUUCUAAACGUCUACGCGGUGUCCUAAUAAUCAAUACCAUCGUAUUCGCCAACGCUCAUUUCAUGGAUGCUAUCCUCGAGAGAGGGACUCUCAGUGACUUUAUGAUCCAAUGGAGCCGGACCCUUACGUCUCUUGCCCUUCCUCUUGCCAUCACCCGUGAAUAUUGGCGCCUCCCUUAUCCAGCGUGAGAUACACUCCGCCCGUUCUGUGCUAGUAGGAUACUCUUUACUAUCUUCCUGUGCCCAGCGUUUAGGUGCUGCUCCCGUUUCUGCGUUCCUGCCGUUGUCUUCCUUGCGGCAGCUCUUAGUACUCUUCUCGCGCCCUCGCACCGCCGCAAGAAAGCUUUCUUCGUCUUGAACACGGUCAUCAGCCAAUGCUUCCAUGAUCGCAUUGCCUUUUCGAUGAUCCGGCGCUUCCUCUGGGAUCACCUCUCUCUUUUCCAAUCCUGCGUGGCCUGGAAGUGGGGAUGGGGCACAAAGCGCUUCCCACGAUUGCUUGAGUCCGAUCCAAUUGUCCACACGGUUAAGGACUUCAAUCCAAUCUGCCCGCGCGGGCGAUCGAGGUGCAAGGAAAAUUGGAUACCCGUCACAAACGCGGGAUAAGCGUGCAACCAUGUGGGCGUGCCGGCGAAGUUCCUUAGGUGAUGUUUGAAUGAGAGGGUAGCAGAGAAGGAGGGAAUGAAGGGCAUCGGUCAGUAACGGGUGAUAGGUUACAGCUUCAUGGCAGUCAUGAUUUGCGAGGAGAACCGCAUCGUCGUGAGCGGACGAUAUCCCCAGCCCAUUUUGCCGUGCGGGUACCAACGCCUCGGAGUCCGGGGGGUAAGGGGGAAGAUUGAGCAACAGUUGUUCAGAGAACAGAACAGAGAGCGGAUAUACUUCUACGGGAGGAAGUGGGUAUUCGUCUUGAGCUCCUCGGUAGUCACCGGAACUAGGAGACAUUGAAGGUGAGCUUAUGUUACCUCCAGUUGCGUGAGCAGUCUCUUGAGUGCUGCUGGCCUGAGUAUGGGAGCCUCUCCGCUUUCUCUGUCCACUAGGUGUAAUGUGAACCUUGUGGAGAAGUUCUUCAGCAAUCUCAGUUGGCAGUCCGGCAGUAUAGUCGAGGUGUGAGAGAAAAUUCAGAUAAUCACGCAAUGCGCGUUUAGCAUUAGUCUUGACAAUUCUUCGCGCUUCGAGCCAUCGGCGAUACGCUUCUUUUCCCGCGGGAGACAAUGUGGGCGUGUUGCUACCUUGUCCAUCUGUAUUUGUAUUUGACAUUUGUUCAUUUUGAGAAGCUUUUAGUGCAUCAAGCGCCA
rnacentral:sRNA from 2 species